rnacentral:sRNA from 1 species
CAUUUUCAACCUCAUAAUCCUCUCUCUUCCUUCUCUGACACUCCUUAAAUCCCUUUUCUUUAGCAAAUCUUGUAGUGACAAUUUUGGAGUUUUGGUUUCUUUUUAAAAAAACACAGAAAUAUUACAUGAAUAUACUUUUGUUUUAAUCUCACGUUCGCUGCCUCUGAUUGCCCACAGCAACUGACUGAGAUUUGCCUGGUGCUCUAGCAGAGACAUGAUAUUUCUGCCUGCAGAUAGUUUUAAUGAUUGUGUGAAGUUUGGAAUUCUGGGUAUUUUCAGAGGCUAUAUAAAUGCUAGGCCACUGAGAGGUAUGGUGUGUUGUUGGUCAUGGUUUGUUAUGUACUCCUGUGCAAAGAAGAAAUAACAAGAAGAAGUUAGGUAUCCCGAUGGCCAAGAUCAAACUUGCCCCAAAGAACAGGACACCCCUAAUCAGCAGGAAGUAGCCUAAUGAUAAUGCCGCCUCUUUCUAAACCCUUGACUUUAUUCAGGGAUCUCAUCCCUUUCUAUCUGUUUUUCUCUCCUAUGUAGUGUUAGGGGGUUGAGAGGGUGGAAGUAAGGGGGUAGAAAGAAGAACCCACACAGUACCGAGAGACAGUUACAAGUGCAGUCCAGGUGUGGAGCUAAGCAGAAUGGGAAGUUUGAUUUCAAAUGCCACAAAGAAAAUGACAGGGGACAGAGGAAUGGAGGUUUUUUCCAAGAUGCCAGCAAAAGAAGAACCCAAGCAGCAAAGACAAAGUUACUCUCCUGCUUUUCAUGACUUCUUUUUGUUUUGCUGUCUCAUGGUUCACUAAGUUUAAUUAGGGUUGCAUGCAAGUUUUUUUUUUCUCCUGGAACAGGGGCAAGUUACCAGUGACUACAUUACUGGAGAAAAUGACUGCCUCCAAUCCCAUUACUUGCCAGUACCUUGGCAGGGAUCUAGCCUCAUACAUCCACCCUCCCAUCCAUGCUGGAAUCACAAUGGGCCCAUCUGGUGCAGGUUGAGGUGAACGGCCACAAGAAAAUAGCGGGAGAAAGAAGAACGUCAUGUGGGCCGUACUUCCCCAUGUCUGGUGCGUCUUUGGGGUGACCUCACAAGGAGUCGUCAUAGGAACCUGUUCAUACAAGGCACUGGCUCCAGCUGGCUUUGUGCUUAUACCUGAGAGAACUGUUGGUUGCUUGGAAAGAAGUUGGACUUGGAUAGACGUUGAUAAACUUGGGCUUCCCUGAUCAGUUGGACCUUGACAUAGUACGUUUACUGGCUCUUUGAUUUUUGAUGGGGCCGUUUUGCUUGAUUCUGUUGUCUUUGAGACUCUAAUUCCUGGGCUGGCCUGAAACCAUGUAGACCAGAUUGGCCUGGAGCUUGCUAUGUAGAGCAGGCUGGUCCAGAGUUCACAGUUCUCCCUUUGCCCUGCUUCUGGAGUAAUGGGAUUAAAGAUAGGCGUCACUUUGCCCAGCCUGUUUUGGUUUUUAAAUUUUGUAUUUAUCCACUUACUAGCUGUGCUUUUGAGUCUGAUUUACAAUUACAUGCAGGCAGGCAGGCAGGCAUUAGAGCAAGAGCUGAGAGUUUACAUCUCUCUACCUCAGAGAAAGAUUGAGUUUUUAAACCUAAAAGCCUACCCAGAGUGAGACACCCUCUAAUCCUUCUCAAACAGCUCCACCAACUUGAGACUCUCUCUCUGCCUGCCUAUGGGGGUCAUCCUCAUUCAAACCACCAUGUAGACUAUUUAUGCUUAUCAUUUUCAACUCUGGCUUUUCUCAUCAUAAAGCUUACAUUGGUAUAUAUUAACUGUACAAGAUAAGGAAUUUUAUUGUGACAUUUCUAUACAUGCAUAUAACGAGCUCCGAUCAUCUUUAUUAAUUCUAGCUCUGAUUUUUAUUGUGUUUUGUUGACUAUGCUCUGUGGUUUGGUUUGUUCUUAUCUUUCUAUAACCUUGAAGGUCAUCAUCCAGUUGUUCAAGAUAACUCUUUUUUUAAUGACAUAGGAUUGUAUAACCAUGCACUUGUCUCCUAGACCUGCUUUGUUUGUUUGUUUGAUCUAGCACUGUACAAUGAUGUCACACUUCACAUGGUGGCAAUGGAGGAGGAGCUUGAGGCCAGCCCUCUGAUGAGGAAGCCCUCAAAGAUAAGUCCAAGAUGUCAGUGACAUUUGCCUGUGGCACAUCUGCAGAGACAAAGCGUGUCUGCCACAUCCACACAACACCGAAGUAGCUGUGACAAUCUUGGACAAGGGCGUCAACAGGACCUCCAGCAUCACCACUGAGGUGGCCCUCAUGGAGUCUGGAUAACAUACAAAUAUCAUUACCCUCUUCCACUUAAUCGACACGCCAGCAAAGCCGUAUUUGGUCAUAGAAUUUGCAGCAGGGAAGAUUGGAGAGUGUCAUUGGGCCACCUCAUUCUCCACUGGACGGUGACAGCACUCACGGCCCACCCAGACAUAGAACUGGAGAAUAUCCUAGUGAAGGGGACAGACAAUGCCGAGCAGUGACUUUGCAUUGGGCAAGAGCUGGGGGGGAUCCCCUGACCACCUUUCCUUUUAGCCCAAGAGAUACUAACUGGAGGGCAGAGGCUACCAGGGACUUCCCAUCAGCAUGUGCUUCCUUGGCGUAGUAAUUCAUAACGCGGUCACUUCUGUGGUUGCACACCACGCAAAGCGUCAACCCCUUGAGGCCUGCGCUGGCUGAUCACAGCCGCACACUAUCAGGUUCUACCAACCCAUCUAGGAUCAUGCAAUGUCUCAUGAUGUGCUUGCUCUAUGUGGGCCCCAAGACCAGGAUGCCUACAGGCCAGCCCAAGGGGCAUGCAUGGCUAUCUGACUGUGAAGGAGAUUCACUUUGUAGCCUCCAUAAAGACAGCCCCCAGACUCCCAGUCACGAGCAUGGUGGAAACCUUGUAUGUCUGGGAAAUCAUGACAUUUACAAGGAACAGCAAGGUUAGUGAGGUGAAGCAACAUACCAAUAGGUUGCAACGUUGUCUGACCUAUCCAGACACUUGUCAGCAGGCUGUGAAGCCUGAAGCCCUGUUCUGAAGGGACCCCUCCAAGGCCGUCAGCACCCCUUUCCCCAAGGAAGAGGUGAAGUAAACCUGCUUUCCUUUCCUCUCAUCUGGAACGAGCCGAUUGGAGGGGGAUGAGGAGAAGGGAAGGUGGAAGAGCUGAAGAAUUUCCCGGCAUACAGUGCUGCUGGGAGAAGACCACUGUGCAGCCCAGGGUUGCAGAGUGAUGCCCUGGGUACCAAUAUCAUAACCAGCAGUCUGGGGAGAGUAACAUGGCAUGACAUCCCACCACUUGAUGACCAUCCUCCUCUGCACCACCCUAGGAUAUGACAACCGCAGGGGCCGGUGGAGGUGACACAGGUCUAUCUUCCUUCCCAGGAAUCAUCCUGGGCCAAACAUCCCCAGGAACCAGCCUCAGGUUGUGCCCACAGCCUCUGAGUCCAGUUGACACAGGGGCUGGAAGGGUUUAGGGAGAUAGACCCACGUGCUUAGAACAUUUUGCUCUUGCCCUCCAGACCCAGAGAGAAGAAACUAUAUCCCCAAGGUAAGAGGUUACAGUGAGAGGUGAGGACAUCGGAGUCUGCAGGAGACCCAAUAACUGAGGCGAUCUUGAUACUGAAAGAAUAAAGAUUUUUAAACUAUCCCCCACUGUCCCUGCUGUGAGGGCCAGUGCACCUCACAAAAGAAUAACACCACAUGUUAUGGGGAAGUAGUCCAGCCAUAGACCACCUGGCCUCGAGAAGGCCUAGCUCAGCAUAGACCAUCCGGCCUCAAUAAGACCUGGCCGAACGGGGCUGGGGAUUUAGCUCAGUGGUAGAGCGCUUACCUAGGAAGCGCGAGGCCCUGGGUUUGGUCCCCAGCUCCGAAAAAAAGAACCAAAAAAAAAAAAAAAAAAGAAAGAAAGAAAGAAAAGACAUGGCCGAACAUAAGCCAUCUGGCCUCAUUAAGGCCUAACUCGACAUAAGACAUCUGGCCUCGAUAAGGCCUGACUUACCAAUCCUGAGGAAAAAGAGUUGGGGUCAGCUCGCCCCAGAGGCAGGGUGGACUGGAGUUGGACUGAGCCCAAGCUAGAUCAUGUGCACCAAUGUAAACAAACUAGUAAAAUUGCUUUGCUUUGUGUAACUGUUGCCACCUGCCUAUGUAAUUCUCCCUAUAAAUCCCUUCCCCUAAUUGGGCUCGGCGUCGCCUCCUCUGUUUCUGGUUCCUCAAAUACACCUCUUGUUCAUUACAUCAAGACUGGUUUCUCGUGAGUUCUUGGGGGGCUGUGUUGUCUCGAGAUUUGAGUGGGGUCUUCCCCACUCCGCUGGCCUUUCAAUACUUCUUCAUUCUUAUUUUAUAUUUGCCUUUUAAUUAACCUUUGCAAUGUGCACCCAUCACAAGGACAUGAAAUGUGAUGUCUUUCACCUAAGAAGGAACUUCGUCCUUCUUAGGAAAUCUGGGAAAGCUGAGGCAGAAGGGGACAGCACAGGGUGUAACUAGAGGAGUGAAGAACACGCCCAGUUCUAUGGUUAUUGAAUGUCGAGUCUGUUUCCAACCUGGUGUGGACGGAGAGCCACGGGAAGGAUCCAAGUCAGAACUGCAGGAGCGUGUCUGCAUCCACACUCAU